rnacentral:rRNA from 1 species
UACGUAGGCGGAAAAUUAAGUCAGUAGUGAAAUCUUGCAGCUUAACUGUAGAACUGUUAUUGAUACUGGUUUUCUUGAAUAUAGUUGAGGUAAGCGGAAUGUGUAAUGUAGCGGUGAAAUGCUUAGAUAUUACACAGAACACCGAUUGCGAAGGCAGCUUACUAAGCUAUGAUUGACGCUGAGGUACGAAAGCGUGGGGAGCGAACAGGAUUAGAUACCCUGGUAGUCC